UGAUGGGAUUAAUCAUCAUUUUGAAGAUGUC
rnacentral:piRNA from 1 species